rnacentral:tRNA from 1 species
GUUUAAAUAAUUUAAAUAAAAUAUUAAUUUUGUAAAUUAAAAAUAAGGAAACUUUUUAAGCA